UACAGGGGGUGCAAACGUUGCUCGGAAUCAUUGGGCGUAAAGCGCACGUAGGCGGUCUGUUAUGUCGGAUGUGAAAGCCCUUGGCUUAACUGAGGAAGUGCAUCCGAAACUGGCAGGCUAGAGUACUAAAGAGGGUCGCGGAAUUCCCGGUGUAGAGGUGAAAUUCGUAGAUAUCGGGAGGAACACCGGUGGCGAAGGCGGCGACCUGGGUAGAUACUGACGCUGAGGUGCGAAAGCGUGGGGAGCGAACAGG
rnacentral:rRNA from 1 species